rnacentral:rRNA from 1 species
GUAGGAGGCAAGCGUUAUCCGGAUUCACUGGGCGUAAAGCGCGUGCAGGCGGCGCGGUAAGUUGGGUGUGAAAUCUCCCGGCUCAACUGGGAGAGGUCAUUCAAUACUACCGUGCUCGAGAGCAGAAGAGGAAGAUGGAAUUCCCGGUGUAGUGGUGAAAUGCGUAGAUAUCGGGAGGAACACCAGUGGCGAAGGCGAUCUUCUGGUCUGUUUCUGACGCUCAGACGCGACAGCUAGGGUAGUAAACGGGAUUAGAGACCCCGGUAAUCCUAGCCGUAAACGAUGUGAACUUGGCGUUGGUGGGUUAAACUCCAUCAGUGCCGUAGCAAACGCGAUAAGUUCACCGCCUGGGGACUACGGCCGCAAGGUUAAA